rnacentral:rRNA from 1 species
GACGAACGCUGGCGGUCUGCUUAACACAUGCAAGUCGAACGGAAUCCCUCGGGAUUUAGUGGCGGACGGGUGAGUAACACGUAAGAACCUGCCUCUAGGACGGGGACAACAGUUGGAAACGACUGCUAAACCCGGAUGAGCCGAAAGGUAAAAGAUUUAUCGCCUAGAGAGGGGCUUGCGUCCGAUUAGCUAGUUGGUAAGGCAAAGGCUUACCAAGGCGACGAUCAGUAGCUGGUCUGAGAGGAUGAUCAGCCACACUGGGACUGAGACACGGCCCAGACUCCUACGGGAGGCAGCAGUGGGGAAUUUUCCGCAAUGGGCGAAAGCCUGACGGAGCAAGACCGCGUGGGGGAGGAAGGUUCUUGGAUUGUCAACCCCUUUUCUCAGGGAAGAACAAAAUGACGGUACCUGAGGAAAAAGCAUCGGCUAACUCCGUGCCAGCAGCCGCCGUAACAC